ACACCUUCUAGACUUCUUUCCUGAUCCAAAUUCUCCCUGCCAUGUGGACUGCAGUGAGGAAAUGGUGAAUAGUUCCAGGCAAAACGGUUUUGUUCCUCUGUCUGAAGAUGUUUCUGCUUGUGCUACACAUCCACAAAAUGAUUUCAUUGUAGCUGGCACCAAGCAAGCAUCUUUGCUUAUGAUUGGCCAAAGAAAGAAGAGCUUACACGGG